AUUUCAUCUAAGAAUUUUCUCAUCUGGUAAAGAAUCAGUUCUUAACAGGUUAGUGUCUCUUACGUCCUGCAUCGCAGGACUAGAAUACUAAAGUCAUUUUUGGAUCAUGACGGUGUGUUAAGAGCGUGCUGUAUCUCUGUCACAGCCUGUCUCAUCACUUUCAAAUUCUGAUAAGGUUUUCGAUC